AUGGACCUCCCUCUGCUCUCACCAAUGCCAUGUACCGAGCUUGCUCUCCUCCUCGAGCCAAAUGCUCCCGCCCAACAACCAGUUUCCUGCCCCAGCGACCUGUCCUCCAUGUAUUGUGGUCUAACAUUUGCCUCGGUAAUCUUUAAUAUAAUUAGAUUUCACCGCAUGAUGUUCUUUACCCCAGCCGAGCAUAGUGUGCUGCCGCGCCGUCGAUUUCCACGAAGUGGCCAGCCCGAGCCGAUUCCCCAAUGUGUCAAUGACUACGUCCGCUGCGUGAUCCUGUGGGACAUGACCAAUCCAUUGCCUUAUCAACACAUCGAGAGCUUUGAGCAAACGAUUGCGAUUUUGUAG
rnacentral:rRNA from 1 species